UUGAACUUCAAUUGUUUUGGUAACUCUUUUUUUUUAUUGAUUCCAAUUUCUAAUUUUUAUUAAUUUUGUUAUUGUUUCAAUUGUGAUUAGUUGAAUGGAGAUUAGUAUUCCUUUGGUAUGUUGUUCUUUGGAUGUGGUUCCAAAAUUUCGGGUAAUAAUCUGAACGUUUCCAGUUUUAUACUCUUUAAUGAUCAUCAUCAUUACCAUCAUCGUCAAGGAGGAAAAAAAGAAAUCAAGAAAGCGCAAAUUGUCAAGAGGAACUGAAAUGAUGCGUAAAACGAUAAAUUGGAUCAACUACAAUUUCAAGGUUAAGCAGCUAUGGACAAACUUUAUGGGAAGAAGGAGAAGGAGAAGAUGACGAUCAACAUGAUGAACAUGAUGAUGAUAAAGAGAGAAAAGAGAGAAGGAGAAGAAUAAAAGAAAAACA